CACGAGUUGGAAUUGUAGUUGUAGUCAGGCUUUUCCCCGAUCCACAGGUUCACCGCGCUCGUGCUGGUGAGAUCAGGGGAAGCCCAAGCGAGGUUCUCUCCAUAGGGUCCGCCUGAAUGGACCAGCCGCGUGCAAUCCCUGGCGUGCUUUUGGGCGUAAUCCCUGGCAUAGCUAGCCACUCGCUCGUCCCAAGUGAUCGGGCCUACACCGACCUGAGACCGGGCUGCAUUGUGGGCGACGACGUAAUUCCGGGGCAAGUCUUGGGCGACAGACACAAAGAUCAGCGCCAGGGUUAGCGCAACGAGGAAAAUGACAUGGAGAGGAACACUCAUUCGGGAACUCAUAUCGUAAGAGACCAUAAAAAUUGGCAGAGGAAAGAUCUUAGUUGGUUGAUGUAAGGGAUGGGCAAUAGCUAGGGAGUAUGUAGAUGGCGAUCAUGUGGAAAAAUCUGUCCAUUCCGUGUGGAAAAAUCUGUCCAAGGAAAAGUCGAAUAUUCGAAAUAGGCCACGAUGACUAGGUCAAAUUGAUCGACCGCCAAUGUGAAAUUUUUCAUACUCUGUGCAACGUUAAUUAUUGUACCCCGAUAAUGACCCCGUCGUCUUCUUCUUAUUAUUUUUUCUUUUUUGUUUCAAUUUUAGCCAUAGAAAUAUUGAUGACAAAUAGCGACUUUGUACCAAGUCAACAAGUCUGUUGAAGACACUAUGCGAAGCAUAGGUUGACUUGGCAAGAAGCAAGAUUUUGACAGGGAUUUCAGCUGUAAUUUGGCUUGUGCCAGCACCUAGCCUGAAGAACGAUUUAUUUUAAUGUGUCAGUGCUCGUAUGCCUUAUCCCUCUCCUCAAUUCCUUAAUUCCCGGUAUGAGUUAUUUUUUCUUCCUUGUUGGGCCGAGAAUACGGAGUGACAUUAGGGAAUCCCACCCCUCGAUGGUCCUUUCCCCUCAUUUCUUUCCCUUGAGCCUUUGCACGAUCAUCGGACGCCUUUAAAGGUAACUUAUCUUAGAACUCUCUCUCUUUCCACAAAAAUUGUCGUCUCUUGGGUAAAGCUUUUCUCCCCUACUUUUCACUGUUUCUUUUGGCGUUUUCUGCUAAAUUGGUUUCGCGUCUUAAGUCAAUUAUAAUUUAUGAGUAAAGCACCAAAAGCUGAAAGAUCGAGCUCAAGUAGUCAAGAUUGAUGCAUUCACUAUUUUUCUUUUGUUUUUUUUUUCUAACUUGUGUUUCACGAAAGCUGAAUUUGAAAAUGUGAAACGCAUGAGUAAGAUUUUUAUUUUGGAUUGUAAUUUGAAAUUCAAUAAUUACUCUCCAAAACAUUAUAUGAUUUGACAAUGCAACUGUCAGUAAUUGGAAUUGUGAUACCUGAUUAUUGAGGCUGAAGAGAUGUAAAAAUAUACUAAGAGCAUGCGUUAAAACCUCCCACCGUUCUUUGAGCGGUAGGGGCAAUAUUGAAUGUGAGUUUGUCGUUCAUAUGACAAAUAUAGAGGAAAAAAAUAAAUUUUUUUUUAAUCGAAAGAGGAAAAAAACAACCGAGUAUAACACGAUAAGAUACACGUAAGUUAAUUAGCCUUGCUCAAACCCUACUAAUCGGUUUUGGCAGGUGCCACUGCCCCAAUUGAAAAUUAUUGGCCCGACCACACGGGCUAUGUCUCAUUUUAAAAAAAAAAAAAAAAAGUGAGCUAAAUAAUAAAUAAAAUGGAAACAUAAAUAGAAAAUAAAUGAGUACUUUAUUAUAGAUGAGUUAUAAAAUAAUUUUCUUUUUCUAUUUUCAGCCUCCUUUCCUCUUCUAAUGUUUACGAAUUUUUCUAUUUUAGAGUGAACAAAAGAAGUACGCUCAAUUUGAAAAAUAUGUGAAUUUCAAUAAAAUUAUAUUUUAUUUAUAACACAUCAUUAAGUUUAUUAUUUUUAAUUAUGAGGAAAUCAAAUGGAUAAGAAAUUCUUGUUACUUCAAUAAUACCAAAAAAGUGAUAUUUAUCUCAAAUUUGCACUAUUUUUAAAGUAAAAGUAAGAUUAAAUUGUAAAAAAUAUAGAACAUCUGAAUUCUUUUUUAUUUUAUUUUCUACUUUCAGAAUAGACAUAAUUUAAUAUAGUUUCCAUUAUUGUAAGUACAAUAUUGAAGUAUGAAGAUUCAUCUACCAGACCUAGCUAAAUUUUUUAACAAGACCUAGCCCUGCACCUUGGUGUGUGGCUAUAUAAAUUAUAAAUCAAAAUGAAGAAUAUGAAGUAUGAGAUGUUCAAGCAUAAAAAUGGCCGAAAAUUCUAAAAAUUAUGCAUCAGUGUUCUGAAUAAUCAUAUCAUACGUACAAACUCACGAAUCUGAUAUCAUAAGCUAUUCCUAGUCUUGGAUAAUUCCAUUGAUGUAGAGUGCUUAACUUGAGAAUCCAUUUUUAAAGAAGGUUCGGCAAAUGAUCAAUUUGGACUAACCUAACUGUUUUGAUCUUCUUUCUCGUCUUACGAACGUAUUCUUUGACAUUUAGUAUGAACCGCUGCCUUCUCUUUCUCUAUCCUUGGGAAGAGGAACAGUAAAGACAGGUGAAUAACUCAAUACUUACUGCCAAAUGAAAAAAUAAAAUAAAAUUUACAUGCAGGGUAAUCUCUAAAUAAAACUUUGUAUUUCGGAAAGUAACUAACCAAAUGCAAAAUAUGAAACUGGGACCGGUCGCUGAAUCAAUUAGAGAAGCAUCGAAAGGGAUUUUUUCUUGAAGAAGAAAUUAUUGGAUGAAUCAGAUGCAUGCAUCUUGAAUUUAUUUGGAAUAUUGAAUAUAAUAGAUCCUACAUAUAAAGAAGGUGGGCCUUAUUACGUUAGAUAAUCUAGAAAUAUUUGGGUUCACACAAUUGAUAAAUGUAUUAACCUUUCUUUUCUAGAAGAGAGAAUCAAUGGCGCUUAAAAUAAACCCUCUCAAUAAGUAAGACAACUUAUGCACGUCAAAUUGUUCCUCGUAUUGUUCGACCAACUAUUGCAUCCUCACCAUGUCCCCAAAUUUUGGUGGAUAGAGGUCUGUGCUUGUCCCCAAACUAUCAAUAUGCAUGUAUUAUCAAAAGCGGAUGAAGUUCUAAGGAAAUAAGAAAGUGAAAUUUAAGGAGUGGCAAGUAAAAGUUAAGAACAAUAUGCACAUUGCUUCCAGAAUUUAGAGGGUCCAUGUAAUUUUCCCUAAAUUGAAAGUGGAGAUAAAUGAUAUGAAGUGUGGAAUAAGAGAUAAUAUUUGGGAGAUAAAUUAAUAGACAAUCGUAAUGCAUGUACUAACUUGAACUGUCUUAUUUAAAAAUAAUGGGGCUUAUGUAUAUAGGUCCCACCUAGGACUCACUAAAUUUAAUGGUUAAUGCUAUAAUUUUUUUUAAAUUAGUACACUUAUGACAAAUUUACUCUGAACUAAAUUUUUGACCAUAAAAAACAUCAAAUUGAUACAUUCCAUCCGUUAGUUUCCGCUAAAUUAGAUUAACACCAUGAAAAAUCACAAACUAGUAUACUUGUGAUAAAUGGAAGGUAAAACUCCAAACUGGUAUACUUGUCAACUGUUAAUUUCGUAAUUUGACAAUAAAAUUUAACGGAUGGUAAAUUCGUUAUAAAUAUAUCAGUUUAAGUUUUUGGUUGUCAAAAAAUUAGUUUGUAGUAAAUUUGUUACAUAUAUACCAUUUUGAGGUUUUUUGUUGUAUUAGCUCUAAAUUCAAUUUAGUACAUAAUUUACUGAAUAGUUUUCGGUGGGAAAUAUCAUUGUCACUGUCGCUAUGGUCAUCACAUGGACUAUUUUCCACAUUCAAGGAGGCCAAAUCAAAGAAGGAAAAGAACAGAAGAGAAAAAAGAUAACAAAUCAAACCGCGGAAAUUUGUCCGGUGAUGCCGCUCUUCCCAUCAUGGCUUUCUUUCUGUUUCUCCAAGCUCGUCGAAAAUGUUGACUUUUCUUUAAUCCCACGAAACCCUAGAAACCCUAGUUUCUUGUUCUGACCUUUCUUGUCUUUAACAAUCAUUUAUUUUUCUGGAACCUUUUGAACUCCCGAAUCUGAUUGGCUCGAACCAAGAAUUGUCCCUUUUAUAUUUUAAUAAGACGGUUACGUCGUUGGGAUUUCAUAACAGAUUUGAAAUGUUAAAUUGCUUGUGAUCUCCGGCAAUCUAGCAAACAGACAAAUUGAGGUCCCAUACAUAGAAUCUGCGUAUCCUACGCUUCCCGUAUUUCAUCUUUUAGGUUCCAUUGCGUAUACUUUUUCUUUCCUUUUUUCCCCUAAAUCUAGCGAGAAAACCAUAAAUUAUGACUUCAUGAAAUAUCAUACUAAUCUCAACAAUCAAGUAAGAUACAAGAUCAAAACACCCAAUGGGUAAUGCAAACAUGAGAUUAUAUAAUGUCUUGCUUCUAAUCCACAUGCUCAUGCCUAUCCUUUACCACUAAGCUACGGCAAGAAUUGCAUGUAAUCUUCUAUACAAUAAAUUGUAAUAUUAUUCCUGAAAUAGUUGGUCUUCGUUGGUUUUUCCCAUAAAGCAAGUGGAAUACAUGAUAAAUCUUUAUCUUCUUGGAUUUUAGCUCAGCGUGAAUUUUAACUCUGAUGAAAUCAAAAUAAAUAAAAAUAAAUUAAUUAUGGGUGAAAUAGUUAAGAUCAUUGCGAGCAAAGUAAAAUUACAAUACAUUUCGAUAUAACAAGCUAAAAAACUAUCUGGAUUACUUCAAGGAUUGUCAGACAAACUACAGUAGCAGCUUGUAUUAAUGCUUGAGAGGACUUGUGUGUAAUUUUGGGAUGAAUUGAUGGUGGAAUAAAAAACUGAAUUUCCUUCACUUGAUCUUGCCCCAUCCAUCUCUAUUUCCUUUUUCGCAAACUUUAUUUUAAUGCAGAUUACACGCUUACUUGAUGACACGCCACAUAGCGCGUCAUCUCAUUUAGUGAGAAAUUCUAGUGAAGUCUUAGUAUGCAUAGUGCUAUUAAUAUCCUGACAUCUUGCUUGCUCUUAAUUUUACGAUAAAAACAAAAAAGAGAAAUGUCAAAUACUAAGUCCGUUUUAUAAUUUGGUACUACAUGUCACGUGGCAUAUUGUUAUUAAUUAUUGAAGAAGACUUACUGUCCACUUAUAGUCUGCCACUUGAUUUGGUAUAUUAAUAUUAAUAGAUAACAUAGCCUUGCCCAACAAGAAAUACCUUAAAAAAGUUGAGAAGAGAGAGCAAUAUUUAAGGUAAUAACAAAGAAGGGAGGGGACGUAGCGCGAUGUACAUAAACAAUUACUCAAACAAAAAGGAUAUUGUAAGUUCAUAGCUUGCACUAUCGACUCUCGAUUUGAGAGAAUAAAAAACUUAACUUUAUCAAGAAAAUAUCAAGAUCAUUUCGCUUUUUUUUUUAAUCAUAGAAAAAAAAUUAGCACAGAAAUUUACUGCCCUAGCCGCCCGCUUGAAUUGUAUUGCGCAGGGGAGGAACUGGAAUGAUUAUCAUUAAUUUUUGGGCCGAAAGUAUGAGAAACGCCCUUAUCACUUGGUGAAUCCUAGGUGAGUUAUUCAGAAAAUCAUUUUAAUGGAAAAUGAUCAAAUUUUCAUAUAUGGUUGGACUUUUUAAAAAGGAGUUGAAAAUCAUUAUCGAAUAUUUGUUAUCAAUUUGCUCUUAAACCUUUUUGGAUGAAUGAACUCGGAUUCAAGAGGAGAAAUCUAGCGUUCGCUUCUUGCAUAAAAAGUUUGAUCCAAAAUUACCCAUCUAUAUAUAAUGAUUGACUUGUUUCGUCAAUUAAUACCCCAUGUCACUUAGGUGAGGAAGAAAAGGAAUAAACAUUGGGUGUGUUUAUUUGCGGAAAAUAAGUGAUUUAAAAAAUAUUUUAUGAAAAAUGAUCACUUAUAUUGUUUAGAAAAAUGAAUGAAUAGAAAUUUUUUUCUUUGCCCAUGAAACUAAUUAGGCAUAGAUUGUUAUUGAUGAUGGAAUUUUUUUUCGCUAACUAAUUUUUCUGAAUGAUGUAAGCAAUUAAAUUUCAAAAAAUGUUUUUCAAAUCACUUAUUUUACAUGAAAUGAGCACACCUUUGGUUCUUUUUUCAAAAUAUACAAACAAAGCUGUUUUCCUCUAUCAUAUCCUAUUAUUUUAUUGAACAAGCGAUGGAUUCACAAGUCCAUGACCGAACAUUCCGUCAAAUGCUCUUGAUUUUGCAUAAAGAAAAAGAGUUUACAUGUGGCUCAUGAGUAAUCCAUGCAUCAGAUCCACCGCUAAAGAGAUAUAUCAGAUUCUAUACGAGUCCAUUUAGUUGAGAUAUAUCAGAUUCUAUACGAGUCCAUUUAGUUGAAAUAUAGAGUUUGAUGUAUAGAUUGAGGGCAGUGAAGUAUCCUGUUUGUGUUUUUUUUUUUUCCAAUUAGAGAGAAGAGGACCGAGGCAUAUUGAUCUGAUUUCGGAAAAAAAGAUUAAAAAAAAAAGAAAAAAAAAGAAAAAAGGAUUGAAGUCUGACAAAUGAAAUGUCGAUUGAUUUCGUUUAUGGAUUUUUAUGUAAGAGGUCGACACCUUCUUUAUAUAAUGUUCUAUAUGUAUAAUGAAUCAGUUAUGUUAAUUUGCACUCGUCCUAUGUGGUAUCGAUUACUCAUAUGCUCUGAACACAAAUUGAUAUUUGUGAAUUAGUCAUAACUAGGUGGGGGGGGGGGGGGGGGGGGGACUGUUUGGACGGUUGGGCUUCAAUGCUUUUUUAUUUUGCCCGGCCUGAACAUGUGGGUGUGGAAUUUCUAAUUUUUUUUUUUAAAAGACCAUACCGAACUAGACUAGGCAACCGACCAAAGGAAAACUAGACUGGGCUGGUUCAGCCCUAGCCCAACUUUUUUUGUUGGUUUUAAAUGAAAAAGAGAUGAGCUACUAUAUUUUGGACCUCGAAAAUCGCUUCUUUGAUAUAUUUAGAUAUUUUUGACUUAGUUAUGAGUUUGUUACAUCGUAUUGAGUAGAAUUGACGUGUCUUGUAUUGGGAAAAGUGUUAGAAAAAUCCUAAUUUCAUUACAUUGGUACCGAUUUAGUUUUAGAUAUUUUAAUUGUGUUGAUUUAGUUCUAAACAUUUUGACUCAAUACCAAUUUAGUCAUUAUUUUCUUUAACUAAUUUUGAUUGGAUAUUGCUGACAUGGACUUUAGUUGACCUAUGUGGUAUGGUUGAUACUAACGUUGAUAAUUUUUAGUAAUACUUUAAUUUUUUUUUCAAAAUUUUUAUUCUUUUAUUUAUCUCUUCUUUCCCUUCCUUCUUCCUUUAGCCAAUCACUAGACUGGCGACCAGCUAGAGGUGAGAGCCAGCAAGGAUCAACCCUUGCCAAACAUUGUGAGGUCACAACCUUCAAAUUUGCAGCCUCUAGCAAGGGACCCUUGCCAAAUCUACUGCGGUCAACCGUCAUCCAUUAGGGGCGAUCGGCUCCUAGUUCAAUCCGAAGCGAAGGUGGAGCCGAGACUAGACUAGUUGAUUCUUGGACCAAGAACUAGACCGCAUCAUUGGUCCGGUUCGAUCUAAUAGAACCGGUCACUUAUUUUUUUCCAUAUUUUUUUCUUAUUUUUUUCCUACUACUUAAAACUAGAUUGUGAUAGUAUUUAGUUCACAUUUUACUAAUUUUUUUGAAGAAAUAUUACAAUAAAAAAGUGUAUUUAGUCGUUCCAAUCCGGUUUCCCCCUGGAAUUGGGAACUGGACUGCUUGGACACCAGUUUCAUUUUUAGGAAUUGGGAAUCAGACCAACACUCCUGGGAACAAGACUAAACUAGUUGGUGUGGUCUAGUCCGAGUAGUUUUCUGUUCAAGCAGUCCGUUUUGUAUAUUCCUAUCGCCCAUCUCAUUAGAUUCGAUGAGGGUGAGCCUCAACAGAGGUUAGGCGACGCAUGACCUCGUUGGAUUUGGCAAGGUUGGCUAGAUACUGGGAAGGUCCCUGGAGGAAGAAGAAGAAAAUAAAAAAAAUAUAUAAAAAAUUUGAAAAACAUUAAAAUAUUAUUAAAAGUGGUCAAUGUUAGUGUCGAUCAUGCCGUAUAUGCCGACCGGUGUCCAUGUAAUCAAUAUCUGGCAAACAAAUAGCUGAAAGAAUUGAAUUGACAUUAAAUUAAAAGAUUUAUGACUGAAGUUGUAUUAUAAAAAAAAUUUAGAACUAAAUUGGCACCACUAUAAUAGGUUUAAGACUUUCCUGACACAUUUCCUGUCUUUCAUUAUUAAUAUCAUACACUUUAUUAAUACAUUUUUAAUUUUUUUUUAAAAAGGUAGUUUGGGCCAAAUUGGGCCAUUUGGAGGUUGAGAUAUGGCCCAGCUUUGCUUGAGAAAAGGGGAGCUCGAAAUCUAGACUAGGCUUAAUGGGCCUGAAAAUUUGGGUUAGUGCAGUUUGGGCCUAUUUGGGCUUUCGCUAUUUUUUGUUCCCCUCUUAGAGGUAAGUGCCACGUGGGACAGAGUGCUACAAUGUGAAAACCACCUUUUCAAUCCUGUAUAAGAGAGAGAGAGAGAGAGAGAGAGAGAGAGAGAGAGAGAGAGAGAGAGAGAGAGAGAGAGAGAGAGAGAGAGAUUUGUAAUUUGAGAUUCGAACUGCUUUCAUCCUAUCCUCAUGAAGCUUUCCUCUCGAAAUGUAGAGCAUCUUCUACCUCACAUGGUAGUUUCGUUUUAUCCCAAACCUUAAUACCCCAUUAACAUCCCUUCUCUUUACUGUCCAUUGUAAUUCCCACUGCCUCUGCAAUUCCAUCUCCCUCCUCUUGACGUGAUCCUCAUUAGGUUUCUAAAUUUCCAUGGUUUCCCAUGAAGGUGAAUGGGACUCCGUUGAAGCUCAAGCACCCAUGAUUUCAUCCAUCUUUGCCUAACCGGUCAUUGCAUGUCUUAGAUUCCCUUUCCACCUGGUCCAGUAGUGCCGCAAUUCAGUCUCUCCUAACUUGAGCUUUUGCUUGGUUUAAAUUGCCCAAUUUUGAGUUCCCUCCUGCAAUUCGCACCGUUCUGUUUUGGAAAAUUUGGGUUUCACAGCUCGGCACUUACUCUCUUUUAACCGCCCCAUGAACAGUUGCCCUGUUUCGUCUGUCUAAUGGACUCAGAUGACCAGGAGGAAUCUUCACGACGAGCUGCCCUCUGUAACAGGUUGGGUUGCCUCUGCUCCGAACAAGAAAUUGAAGUCUGGGAUGAUGAGCCCCCACCUAAAAAAUUGGAGGAAUGCCGCUUAAUGCUAGUAGGUAAAAUCCUAUCUAAUCCCUUUAUUAAUCUCCAAGCUAUUCAAAGUACCUUGAAGUGAGCUUAGCGAACUGACCAAGUUGAGAUAUCCUAAAGAGAAGUGGGCCUGUAUGUAGCGAAAUUUCAAUCAGAUGCAAAAAAACGGCGAGUCCUAAAAGGUGGACCUUGGCUUUUUUCAAGUCAUUUAGUCAUAUUCAAGCUAUUGAUUCCCAAUACACCAUUACACUGUUAUGAUUUUUCUAGUUGCACAUUCUGGGUACAAGUUUUCAGCCUACCUUUGGAAUGGUGCACAGAGCAAAUGAUCAGCAAGGCAGUUAAACAUGUUGGUCGAGUUUUAGAAGUGAAAGUAGACACUAAAGAGGGUGCGACACUUAGAUCUGGGAGAGCGAGGGUAGCAACAAACUUAUAGGAGUCAUUAAAGACAGGUAAACUGAUUCGUAUUGAUAGAAAAACCCUGUGGCUAGACUUUCGCUAUGAACGGCUAUCCCAUUCAUGCUAUUCUUGUGGCAAGCUAGGACAUUAUGCAAUGUAUUGUAAGAACUUUCCUUUUGAAGAGGCAAAAAUAGAAGGUAAAGACAAGAUGGCCUAUGGCUAAUGGCUGUGCCCGGAGGUCAGAGAACAUAGCCCUUAUUGGCUGACUUUUUAUAAUCUGCAGGAAAAACAAGAGCAAAUUGAAGAAACUGUACUUAAAACCCCUCCCUCUUCAAAUCUAAAUGUUCCUUUACUGCCUCCAACAACUAAUGUCGAAGCAAGGCCCCUGACAAAAUCAGUAAUUCCCAUCAGUCUAAUAGCUGCAGCCCCUCAUCAGCAACAUCAUCAGGAUGAAUUGCUGCAGGGGACCUCUCUCACCACUACGCUGAUACCUGCAACAGCCAAAAUGAAAGGGAUUCAGACACAAUCUAUGGAGCUACCGUAACCAAAAAAGCUGAAAAGUACUAGAUUUACACCUAACGUGGGUGCUGCCAAAAAGCUUAAAAGGUAUAAUCCCUAUGAGAUGAGGAGUUUGGCACAAGAGAACCUCGAUGAAGCACACCUAAUGGAUACACCAGUCUAUGCAACAGAGGAAGUAGGACAGUGGGCUAUGGUGGCUAGCCCUCAACAGCCACCCACCUACAAAUGAAGUUGACUAGCUGGAACUGUCAGGGUUUGAGCAAUCCCCUAACAGUUCAAGCUCUUAAGGCCAUCACGACCAAGGAAAAGCCUGACAUUGUAUUCUUGAUGGAAACAAAGAACCACGAGCUAGUGCUUCAAUGUAUUCAGCGUCGUUUACAUUUCCCCAGCUCUUAUGUAAGUAACCUAGUUGGGCUGGCUAGAGGAAUGUUAGUUUUUUGGAAUGACUAGAUCUCCUUAAGUAUGGUUCGGUCUACGCAGGACUUUUUUGAUAUGAUUUGUAGGGAUGCGAUGGAUGGCUGAACUAUGUGCAUUACCUGUGUUCAUGCCCCUGCUGCCUAUCAAACUCGCCAACUUUUAUGGGAUGAGCUACAACAGAUAAGCAAUUCUAAUACUUUACCUUGGGUCUGUGUCGAUGAUUUUAAUGAAAUUAUCUAUCCGUGGGAAAAGGUAGGAAAGAGGUUAACAGACCCUUAUAGACUACUUUCGUUUCGAGCCAUUCUAAAUGACUGCUCCCUCAUGGAAUUAGAUAGCAAGGGCUGCGUGUUUACUUGGAUGAACAAUCGUGUAGGGGAUGACUUAGUGAAAGAACAAUUGGAUCGGGUGAUGUGUACUUUGGAUUGGCGCCUAAUGUUUCCUGAAGCUGAAGUUUUUGCAUUGCUUGCUUUGGGAUCUGACCAUAGUCCCUUACUAUUAAACACUUCAGCAACAUAUAGAAAACAACGCAAGCCUUUCAUUUUCGAAGCCUUUUGGAACCAAGAUCAUGAAUGCCGUGAGAUCAUUUCCAAAUCAUGGAAUUCAGUACAGGUACAAGAUUUUGCUCUGAUGCCUAAAUUAAAGGCUGUUUCUGAAGCUUUGGCUAAAUGGAGUCGAUCAAAGUUUUCAAAGGGCCAUCUUAAGGUGAUUGCCUUGCAACAACAACUUCAAAAUCUCAUAAAUCAACAACAUUGCAACUUUGAUAAAGUGUCAGCAUCUAAAUUGCGAGAGGAAAUCAGACUGAUAUGGCAACAAGAAGAACAGUAUUGGGCUAUGCGUUCAAGGAUUAACUGGUUGGGAUGGGGAGAUAAGAACACAAAAUUUUUCCAUGCAACUUCCAUUCAACGGAGACAAAGGAACAUAAUUAGCAUGUUAUAGGACAACCACCAAAACUGGGUGCAAGACCCUCAAACUCUACAAGAAAUGACGUCUACCUUCUUUUCAAGAUUAUAUACAAUCGUGGGUUAACGUGACUAUGGACCUAUCCUGGAUCAAUGCCCACAAGUUGUUACAACAAAACUGAAUGACCAGUUAACAUCAUUGGUCACUGUUGAGGAGGUUCGCAAGGCAACCUUCCAGCUGGGGACUACAAAGGCUCCAAGCCCCGAUGGCUUGAAUGGCCUUUUUUAUCAGACUCACUGGGAUGUCAUUCAAGAUGAUCUUCUUCUUUCAGUGCAAAAUUUCUUUAGGUCAAGGGUGAUGCCUAAUGCUCUAAAUCGGACCAUUAUUGCUUUGAUCCCCAAGAUACCUCACCCAGAAAGACUGGAUCAGUACUGCCCAAUUAGCCUAUGCAAUUAUGCAGAUAAAAUUAUUUCUAAGGUAAUUGCAAAUCAUCUGAAACCUUGGCUACCUGAUCUGAUUUCUAUGGAACAGUCUGCCUUUGUGAGUGGUCGACAAAUUCAAGAUAACAUUUUAAUCGUUCAAGAAGUAAUUCACCAGAUUAAGAUCAGGAAGUGGAAGUGAAAAUUCAACGCAAUCCUCAAGACGGAUAUGCAAAAGGCGUACGGCAGAGUUGGAUGUGAUUUCCUUCAAGACUAUCUACUCAAGUUGGGAUUCCAGCCAAGAUGGGAACGGUGGGUGAUGCAAUGCAUAACAACAUCUUUUAGUGUAAAAUUUAACGGCGAGCAACUAGAUUAUUUCCAUCCGACAUUGGGCUUUUGGCAGAGCGAUCCUCUCUCUCCAUAUAUAUUCAUCUUACUGGCGAAUGUCUUAUCAAUUCUUAUUAACCAAGCCAUCAAUAUGGGACACAUCAAGGGUAUCAAGUUAAACAGGUGGUGUCUAACCCUCUCCCAUCUAUUUUUCGCUGAUGAUGCAAUUUUCUUCCUAGAUGGUAACAUUCAGGAAUGCCAGAACCUUGCUAAUAUCUUGAAUCAGUAUUGUGUGGCUACGGGACAAGCUGUAAAUUGUAACAAAUUUGGAAUGUUUUUCAGUAAACAUUGUCCUUCGAGACUAUAGGAAAGUUUGGCGCAGGAGUUUAGAAUACCAGUGCUGCAACGGUAUGGUAAAUAUUUGGGUAUACAAUCUGACUGGGGGCAUUCAAAACAGGAGAUGUUUUCUUGGAUUUUAGGGAGAGUAAAUGCAAAAUUGGAGGGAUGGAAAGAAAAAUUAAUCUCAAAGGGUGGUAAGGAAAUUCUACUAAAGUCUGUUAUACAGGCACUCCCACAGUAUGCCAUGUCUAUCUUUAAACUUCCCUUGUCUCUUUGCAAAUCAAUUGAACAGAGUAUUGCUAGAUUUUGGUGGCGGAAUGAUAAUAGCAAAUCAGGAAUUCAUUGGCAGAAAUGGGAUGUUCUUAAGAACAGCAAGGAUAGAGGAACUCGGCCAUCCUGGGGCUGGCAGAGCCUUCUGAUUAAUAGGGAUUCAAUUUUACCUAAUAUUAGAUUUUCAGUUGGUGAUGGGAAAAUGAUCAACAUUCGUGAAGAUAGGUGGUUGCCUAUAGGGAUUCUAGGUGGAUUAGCUGCAAGAGAAGAACCUGUGAUGGUGGCUGAUCUUAUUGAUCUAAUCCACCACACCUGGAACAUCCCCCUUCUCCACUAGUUUUUCGAGGAUCGGGUCAUAGUAGAAAUCCUUACCGUUCCAGUAAGACCUCUCUAUGCCAAUGAUCAAUUAAUCUGGACGGUCACAACACAUGGCCAUUACACUGUGAAAAGUAAUUACCAUGCUCUCACCAACACAUCUAGCAACUAGAGCAACAACAGGGCCUCAACUUCUUAUUAGAACCCUAGGAUAUUAUGGCGAAGAAUCUGGACUAUGAAAACAACCCCAAAAAUUCAUACAUUCCUAUGGUCUGUUUGCCAUAAUGCACUAGCAACAAAAGCAAAUCUAUCUUAGCGACACAUUAUCAUAGAUCCAAUUUGCAACCUCUGUCAUCAACACACUCCAUAAACCCUAAAGCAUCUAUUCCUGUUUUGUUCAUGGACUUAGGGUGUCUGGUCUCACCCUCAACUCAAUAUCAAGACAUCGCCUCACAUAGUGCAAAGAUUAGAUGCAUGGCUUGUAGAAAGGGUUACAACAUCGAAACUCUUACCUGAUUUGGAGGCCAUCACAAACGUCUUAUGGCAAAUCUGGAGGCCGCAAAACAACUUCAUUUUUCGUCAUCAGCAGCCGGAUCCAAUCUUUACAGUGGAGGCUGCUAUAGCACAGACCCGUAUAUCUCAACACUCUACUCCAAACCAAAUGUGAACAUGGAGGUCUGUUUUGAAUCCUGCACAGCUAUGGAGGCCACCAGAUCCGGGAACCCCAAAAAUUAAUAUUGACGGUGCUUAUCAGCCUAGCAGUAUAGAAGGAUCUAUGGCCUGCGUAUGUCGAGAUCACCAUGGUCAACUUACAGAUGUUUUCUCUAGACAAUUCCUAGCCGCUUCGGCUCUGCAAGCGGAGAUCUAGGCGCUCACCUUCACUCUUCACCAUCUGCUGCAGCAAGGUUUCAACCACGCACAUCUCUUGAUCGAAUUGGACUGCCUCACCUAGUCGAAACUAUGCGAGAUGGCAUAUCAUCGUCGUGGGAAGAUCGAUCUCUAUUUGCAGAAGUCGCUGAUUUGUUUUCCCAUUUCCCUAAUCUGUGCCUUCGACAUUGCAGGCGUGAGGCGAAUGUGGUAGUGGACUAGGCCGCUAAGGCCCAUGGUAGUGUAGCCUUGACCCACAAUUGGACUAUUUCCCCUAUUUUUCUUCUACUAGACCUUGUAUAUGUUGAUGCUAUAGCCUCGGGUUGUAAGAUUUCUUUCAUUUGAAUACAACCUUCCUUUUUGACAAAAAAAAAAAAUCCCGUAAGAGCAAAGUGGUACAUGGUGGAAAUCAUUCCCUAAACCCAUGUAGGCUACCUUUAGAAUCCUUCACUUGUGAGCAGUUGGAGUAUAUUAGCGGGAUUGACUACACGGAAUGCAUCAUCGAAUAUCAUCUGUGUGAUCUACAAUUAUUAGCCUUUCUAAUUCUUAGAAGAUGUGGCCAAUUACUUGCUCAAUUGUUGAUAUGCUUCCUCAAAAUUUGACACUUAGUCACAUGUCAUAGUCUAUUUGAGACACUGUGACAUUGUAAUAAUAGGAAUAAGAUGAAUUGAUUUUGCGGUUGCACCAUGUAGAUAUGAUAUUUGAUGAACAUUUAAAAAGUAGCUCAUUUUUGCAUAAAUCAUGUAAAUGCCCAAGAAAUCGUUCCCACCACAUGAAAAAAGUAAGUAUAAUAUAAAGUAUACCUACCGCAAUAUGUGAUAAAAUGACAAUUGAGCGUUACUUAAUCAUAGUCAUACCGUUUUAUUUCCUAUUUCUCUAUUCGUUUAAAAUUAAACUUAAAGGGAAAAAAUACUGAAAACAAAUAUAGCAUAUUUAUAAAGAAAUCCAAAGUUGUAGCUAUUUUAUAUAUGGCUUCUUAUAUUUCCUUGUGUUUUCAUAUUACAUAUCAGCUUAUAUACACAAUCUUGGUAAUGAUUAUAUAUAAAAAGGCAGUCUAGAGUUUUAGCAUGGUCAUCUUAAACGUUGAACUAAAUUUUCAUCUAAGAAUAUGCCGAAUAUAUAAAUUUGCCACAAUGCUAGUAGUUUUCAAAUUCUCUAUACUAAUUUUUCCCUCAUACAUCCGUUUUUAACUAAAUUUUAAUUUUGAAAACUUACAUGUUGCCUUUUUUAAGUUUAACUUUGAGCAAGUGCCUUAUUUUUGUAUGUUAAAAUUCAUGAACAAAUUUCUUUUAAAGUGUUUGUGCAUACGUCCAACACAUUCAUAAAAAAAAGUAAUAAUAAUUGAAAAAAUUCUCGCAAUCAUAAGUGACUACAAUUAUAUGCCAAUUUUGAUAAACAUAACAUGUGAUAAUACCGAUAUAUGCUGAUAAAAAAAUGUAUCCAAGUGUGCACGCAGGUUUUGUAACUUGUUACAGAAGAAAGGGUAAAAGUUAGGGGUGAACGAUGUUGAUUUUGUCCAGGUUCCAUUUAGAGCUUGGAACCAAUCCGUUGGAAUAGGUUUUCUAAGUUUGGAACUUGGAACCUGAUGUAGCUAGCAAAUAUCACAUAGAGAAGGGGGGGUGGGGGUGGGGGUGAGUGAAUAGUUGAUUUAAUAGAAUCUUGACAGAUUAAGUGAAAUAGAGAAAAAAAAAGGUCAAGAUUUAUGUUUGAACUUAGAGCACAAGGCUUAGAUCAAGCCCACGUUUACUUUUUAAUGCUAACUGCCUACUGGGUGGAUUCUAUAAGAUGAUCAAUGAGAGAUUAAAAUAUUGAGUGAUCACACUUAGUGUGUGAUAAAGUCACACUAUCUCACUCAAUCACUCUUUUAUGUACUUCUCUUAUAAUCACAAAAUUCAAACUCAUGAAAAGCAAGUGUAUGAUUGAAGUAAGCUCAGAUUUUGAAAUUUUAGAUUAUGGGCUUUGUCUCUUAGAUGCUCUUCGGCACCUUAGUCUCCUUAUAUACUCCUUCACUUCCCAACUAGCCAUUGGAUAGUCUUUAAAGGAUUAUCUUCCAAUCUAUCCGUUGGAUAUCUAUGUGUUAAGAAGAUUGAGUGGCUUUUGAGUGAUAGAAGAGGAAUCUUCCCUUGGUUUUGAUUGCCCAUAUAACUAGUCUUGGUUUCCAUAAGUAGAGUUUCUUCAUUAAAAAAAAAAAAAAUUUCUGAAAAUUUAUUUUCCAAUUGAAUAAGAUUGAGUUAAUCAAAUCUUUCUAGGUGUGAAAUCCAAGUUAGAUCACUAGCCAUUAAAUUACAUUUUUGAUUGGUGUCACAUUCUGAAUUUGGUCAUGUUCUGAACUUAUGUCUCGUUUUAAAUUUGUGUCUCCUUCUAAACUUUUGACACCUUCUGAACUUGUGUCACCUUCUAAACUUGUAUUAUGAUGGGAAUAUAAGUGAUUCUCUUAGUCUGAGGAUAUUUAUAUCUUCAAUAUAAAGUAUGAACCUAUUCCAUUUAAUGUAGAUUCCACAAUCUGGACUUGAAUUUGAAUAAGAUUAAAAUUGAUACUAACUUUUUUGUAAAGAGUAAUUCCCUAAAUCAAAAUACUUCAAGACAUAUAUAUGACUUACUCUAAUUUCAUGGACAGUUUUGUCAACUUUAAAAUUCAUUAGAAAGUUUUCUCAACAGAACCUACACUUGCAUACCCAAGAACCUAGAACCUAGAAUCUACCAUAUCACAGGUUCUAGAGUCGGUUCUAGGGUUUACCCGAAUUACACAUAUAUUCUUAAUUGAACAAUUGUAGUAAAUUACCACUUCUAAUGACAACUAUUCGCUACUAUCCAUUAAUUACAACUCAUAUUAUAUAGGGAUAUGUUUAGCAGAAGUCCUAAAACUUGUCAAGGAAGUGCAAUUGAGUUCUAAAACUUACAAAAAGUGCAAUCAAGUCCUAAAACUUGUCAAGUUGGUUCAAUUGAGUCCUAAAGUUAACACCGUCAAGAAAGUUAACGGAAAUUGCUGACGUGGCGCUGACGUCAUAUUUUAAAUGAUUUUUUUAUUUUAUAUAUGACUUUUUAAAAUUAUUUUUUAUUCAAAAUCUUUAAAAAUUAGAUAAAAAACUAAAAAGAUAAAGAUAAAUUUAUUUUAAAAAUAAAACUAUUAAAAAAAAGCUGCCGGUGGAGCUUCCGCCACCACCCACUGCCGGAGGGGCCGACGACGGCCGCCGGAUGGGCCGGUGACGGUCGCCGGCCCUGGGCGAGGCCUCGCCGGUCCUCGCCUGGGGUCGGCGAUGCUCGCCCAGAUCUAGGCGCUGAGCAGCCGGACCUCAUGGUCCGGGGGGGGGGGCCUCACCAUUAAUCUCACCUCCGGACGAACUGACCAUGUGGCUCUCCUCUAGGCUGGUUGUAUUUUUUUGUUGUGGCCCUCUAGCUCUCCUGUAAGGACCGAGGCGGCGUCCUCCCCCAGCUGCAGUUGCUCGUCUCACUCGGACGAUCACGUCAUGUGUUCGUUGUACGAUGCUUGCACCCAUGGAUUCGGUUGAGUGACUAGANNNNNNNNNNNNNNNNNNNNNNNNNNNNNNNNNNNNNNNNNNNNNNNNNNNNNNNNNNNNNNNNNNNNNNNNNNNNNNNNNNNNNNNNNNNNNNNNNNNNNNNNNNNNNNNNNNNNNNNNNNNNNNNNNNNNNNNNNNNNNNNNNNNNNNNNNNNNNNNNNNNNNNNNNNNNNNNNNNNNNNNNNNNNNNNNNNNNNNNNNNNNNNNNNNNNNNNNNNNNNNNNNNNNNNNNNNNNNNNNNNNNNNNNNNNNNNNNNNNNNNNNNNNNNNNNNNNNNNNNNNNNNNNNNNNNNNNNNNNNNNNNNNNNNNNNNNNNNNNNNNNNNNNNNNNNNNNNNNNNNNNNNNNNNNNNNNNNNNNNNNNNNNNNNNNNNNNNNNNNNNNNNNNNNNNNNNNNNNNNNNNNNNNNNNNNNNNNNNNNNNNNNNNNNNNNNNNNNNNNNNNNNNNNNNNNNNNNNNNNNNNNNNNNNNNNNNNNNNNNNNNNNNNNNNNNNNNNNNNNNNNNNNNNNNNNNNNNNNNNNNNNNNNNNNNNNNNNNNNNNNNNNNNNNNNNNNNNNNNNNNNNNNNNNNNNNNNNNNNNNNNNNNNNNNNNNNNNNNNNNNNNNNNNNNNNNNNNNNNNNNNNNNNNNNNNNNNNNNNNNNNNNNNNNNNNNNNNNNNNNNNNNNNNNNNNNNNNNNNNNNNNNNNNNNNNNNNNNNNNNNNNNNNNNNNNNNNNNNNNNNNNNNNNNNNNNNNNNNNNNNNNNNNNNNNNNNNNNNNNNNNNNNNNNNNNNNNNNNNNNNNNNNNNNNNNNNNNNNNNNNNNNNNNNNNNNNNNNNNNNNNNNNNNNNNNNNNNNNNNNNNNNNNNNNNNNNNNNNNNNNNNNNNNNNNNNNNNNNNNNNNNNNNNNNNNNNNNNNNNNNNNNNNNNNNNNNNNNNNNNNNNNNNNNNNNNNNNNNNNNNNNNNNNNNNNNNNNNNNNNNNNNNNNNNNNNNNNNNNNNNNNNNNNNNNNNNNNNNNNNNNNNNNNNNNNNNNNNNNNNNNNNNNNNNNNNNNNNNNNNNNNNNNNNNNNNNNNNNNNNNNNNNNNNNNNNNNNNNNNNNNNNNNNNNNNNNNNNNNNNNNNNNNNNNNNNNNNNNNNNNNNNNNNNNNNNNNNNNNNNNNNNNNNNNNNNNNNNNNNNNNNNNNNNNNNNNNNNNNNNNNNNNNNNNNNNNNNNNNNNNNNNNNNNNNNNNNNNNNNNNNNNNNNNNNNNNNNNNNNNNNNNNNNNNNNNNNNNNNNNNNNNNNNNNNNNNNNNNNNNNNNNNNNNNNNNNNNNNNNNNNNNNNNNNNNNNNNNNNNNNNNNNNNNNNNNNNNNNNNNNNNNNNNNNNNNNNNNNNNNNNNNNNNNNNNNNNNNNNNNNNNNNNNNNNNNNNNNNNNNNNNNNNNNNNNNNNNNNNNNNNNNNNNNNNNNNNNNNNNNNNNNNNNNNNNNNNNNNNNNNNNNNNNNNNNNNNNNNNNNNNNNNNNNNNNNNNNNNNNNNNNNNNNNNNNNNNNNNNNNNNNNNNNNNNNNNNNNNNNNNNNNNNNNNNNNNNNNNNNNNNNNNNNNNNNNNNNNNNNNNNNNNNNNNNNNNNNNNNNNNNNNNNNNNNNNNNNNNNNNNNNNNNNNNNNNNNNNNNNNNNNNNNNNNNNNNNNNNNNNNNNNNNNNNNNNNNNNNNNNNNNNNNNNNNNNNNNNNNNNNNNNNNNNNNNNNNNNNNNNNNNNNNNNNNNNNNNNNNNNNNNNNNNNNNNNNNNNNNNNNNNNNNNNNNNNNNNNNNNNNNNNNNNNNNNNNNNNNNNNNNNNNNNNNNNNNNNNNNNNNNNNNNNNNNNNNNNNNNNNNNNNNNNNNNNNNNNNNNNNNNNNNNNNNNNNNNNNNNNNNNNNNNNNNNNNNNNNNNNNNNNNNNNNNNNNNNNNNNNNNNNNNNNNNNNNNNNNNNNNNNNNNNNNNNNNNNNNNNNNNNNNNNNNNNNNNNNNNNNNNNNNNNNNNNNNNNNNNNNNNNNNNNNNNNNNNNNNNNNNNNNNNNNNNNNNNNNNNNNNNNNNNNNNNNNNNNNNNNNNNNNNNUCGCCGACCUGGCGGGGGUGGCCGGCCCGCACCUGGGCCAACGAGACCUCGCCCGGGCGAGGGCCGGCCACCCCGCUCAGGGCCGGUGACCAUCGCCGUCUCCUCCGGCGGUCCUCGCCGGCCCCUCCGGCGAUGGGUGGCGGCGGAAGGUCCACUGGCAGCCUUUUUUUUUUUUAAAUAGUUUUGUUUUUAAAAAUAAAUUUAGCUUUUCCUUUUUAAUUUUUUAUCUUAUUUUUAAAGAUUUUGAAUAAAAAAUAAUUUUAAAAAGCCAUAUAUAUAUUAAAAAAUUCAUUUAAAAUAUUAUGUCAGCGCCACGUCAGCAAUUCCGUUAACUUUCUUGACGGUGUUAACUUUAGGAGUUAAUUGAACCAACUUGACAAGUUUUAGGACUUGAUUGCACUUUUUGUAAGUUUUAGUACUUAAUUGCACUUUCUUGACAAGUUUUAGGACUUCUGCUGAACAUAUCCCUAUUAUAUACACAAAGAUUAAGAAAUAUAAAUAAAGUAUGAUUCUUAGUCAUGGAUAUAACUGGAAUAGGAAGCUCAAACUAGUGGUUUCAUAUUAUAAACUUAUCAUUAUAUGCUAGGGAAUGCCGCAAAAUCAUGUGGAGACAAAGAACAAGAAAAAUACAAAGACUUGUUUUAAGUUCUAGGUUCCCUGAUUUUUGGAACUUGAAACCUUUCUUGCAUAUCUUAGAACCUAGAACCGAAUUGGUUUUAUCAAGUUUUCGGUUCUAUCCUAUAAAUCUUGAAACCAUGCUUACCCUUGGUAAAAGCCACUAAAAACUCUAAACUAUACUCACCGUGACACAUUUCAUCUAAUUUUUUUUCUGUGAUACUAAAAAUCUAAAACUUGUACCUAUGUGAUAUAUUGACCUUUAGUUAAAGUUCUGUAAGUAAGAAUUGUUAGAAAUCUAUCUACAUUGAUGCCAGUAAGCAAACAGUGUUAAUGUGACACCCACGUGUCUUAAGUGAAAUAAAAAUGAAGUUGUUUUGCUUGAAAAUUCAUUUAAUGAAAUUUUGACAGAGGAUAAAUGUGUCAUAUAGGUACAAGUUUGUGAUUUUUUAUGUCACAAAAAAAGUUUAAGAUAAAUGUAUAACACUAGGCAUAGGGUUCUUAAAUUCACAAAAAGUACAUAAUAAAUAUGUUAUAGUGGACAAAGUUUAGAUUUUUUUUUUUUGUGGCCUUUAAAAAAAAAGAAAGAAAGAAAUCAAAGCAUUUAGUUUUAAGGAGUGAUUUCCACUUAACUAGAAACAUCAUUCAAACUAUCACAAUUGCCCGUUGCUAAAGGUUGAUGAACUUGGCUCCCACCUCACUCCACAUCCUCGAUGUGCGACUUUUUCGUCUAACACAACAUUGACCAUAUUUGCAAUAAUAUUUUAUGGGAAUUUUUUUUUUCUAAAUCACUCUAAUGAUUUUAGCUUUUGAAUGAAAGUGAAUCAAAUUGGAUAUGUUAAUAAAUUUGGAUUUGGGUUCUCUCUUAAUAAACUUCCAAGGUGAAGGAUUGGGAUUUGUUAUGCAUCCCCAACAAGUGAUAUCGGUGUUGAUAGUUGAUUUACCCCACUCACGAUAUGUAUCGAUGGUUUGGUGAUUAUCUCAAAAAAGAAUUUUGAUUCUCUAAUCAAGGUGACAGAUAAUGUCCACUGGCUUCUUGCUAAACUUGAUUGGGCCAAGACAAUUGAGGUAAAGUCCAAAGGUAUAUGGUGUGACUCAGCUCCAACAUCUGGGAAACUCGGUUGACUUAAGGUGGCGAUUUGAGUUAAAAUAACAUUGGUGAGAAAGGAAUACCUAAAUUAAGGGGACAACGGGCCUCGCACAGGAGGCUCACAUGUGUGAAGUAGAUUUAAUGAAAUGUACAUGUGAGGGUGUUAGGCACAAAUAGUCCCCCAUUAGAGAUGUUUUUAGGGCGAAUCAUAUUAAUAUAUCCAAGUUGAGAUUUGUUUACAAGUUCGAACUUAAGUUCUUUUUUGGCAAUUUUCUCAAAAGCAAGUAUCAAGUUUGUGCUGCACGUUCCCAAAAAUCAAUAUUUCUAGAGCUUUAGAUUAAUCAUUUCAUCCACCUAGUCAUAUACAAUAACGCUGUAUCAAUUCCCACAAUUGACUAGGCGAGCAUUAAACUCGUAAAUCAGAAUUCAUUAACUGCAAAUUGUAGAGUGUUCGUCUGCCUAAAGUUGUUUGAACAGCGUGAUUUGAGACAAAAUGAAAAUGUCGUUGAGGUGGCUAUUCAAGCAUAUAGAUCCUAGUGGGAAAGAAUAUUCUAGCUAAAAGUCCAUGACCUUUCAAAGUACUAGGCUGCUAUAUAAAAAAUAAUUGAAAUGGAAUACGAAGUUAGGCAAUUUUGACUUGUGCUUAUUGACACCGAAUUUAUUUUUUUCCCGAAGUUUAUUGACACCUAGUUGAUUAAUUGGAGGUAAUAUCAGUUUCUUGGUCAACUAAAGAUCUUCGAUUUCAACCAAAGAAGAAAAAAAAGAAAAAAAAAUUGACCCCCCCCCCCCCCCCCCCCCCCAAAAAAAAAAAAAAAUUUAAUGAAUUCAUUCAUCAAUACAUAAUAACUAUUGACAAAUUUACCGCCAAUUCCAAUUUAAUAAGUAAUAUUGGUCCCACAUUUUUUUCUGUGCUAUCAUUGAAAUGGUCAUUGAUAUGUACUCGAAAAAAGGGCUAAUGGAAUGAACUCGACAGUGAAAUCCACCGUAGAGAUCAUACUUAGCUUCUCUUCACAGUGUGAAGAGACUUGAAAGGAUCGAAGUUGCUUCACUUGAAAAAUAGGAAUUGAAAGAGAGAGAGAGAGAGAGAGAGAGAGAGAGAGAGAGAGAGAGAGAGAGAGAGAGAGAGAGAGAGAGAGAUUAACUUUUUAAUCGGCAAAGAGAUUUACCUUCGAAACUCAUACGACUUUAUUUAAUGUCGGUCCAUUUAAAAUCUUGCCUCAUUCUAAUGGUGCAUUAUUUUGACACAAUAGUUCAUCAUCCGACAUACAACUUUUUGUAAUUCAAUAAGGCUUUUGGCCUAUAUAAUUCCCGGGAGGAUCAUAGUUACAAGUCACCAAAGUACCGCCAGUCGCGCAUUGGGCCUUCGCGCAUCCAACCCGAACUGAGUUGCGCCACACCACCUGAGUGUAAUGCCCGCAGACCUUCCCAGGCGCGCAUGAGUUGGAAUUGUAGUUGUAGUCAGGCUUUUCCCCGACCCACAGGUUCACCGCUCUCGUGCCGGUGAGAUCAGGGGAAGCCCAAGCGAGGUUCUCUCCAUAGGGUCCGCCUGAAUGGACCAGCCGCGUGCAAUCCCUGGCGUGCUUUUGGGCGUAAUCCCUGGCAUAGCUAGCCACUCGCUCGUCCCAAGUGAUUGGGCCUACACCGACCUGGGAGCGGGCUGCAUUGUGGGCGGCGACGUAGUCUUGGGGAGAGUCUUGGGCGACAGACAGAGAGAUCAGCGCCAGGGUUAGAGCAACGAGGAAAAUGACAUGGAGAGGAACACUCCUACGGGAAUUCAUAUUGUAAGAGACCAUAAAAGUUGGCAGAGGAAAGAUCUUAGUGGGUUGAUGUAAGGGAUGGGCAAUAGCUAGGGAGUAUUUAUGUGGCGAUCAUGUGGAAAAAUCUGUCCAUUGGAAAAGUCAAAUAUUCGAAAUAGGUCACAAUGACUAGAAGAGUGCCCGUCAAAUUGAUCCAUCGCCAAUGUGAUAUUUUUCAUACUCUGUACAACGUUAAUUAUUGUACCCCGACAAUGACCUCGUCGUCUUCUUCUUAUUAUUUUUUCUUUUUUGUUUCAAUUUUAGCCAUAGAAAUAGUGAUGACAAAUAGUGACUUUGUACCAAGCCGACAAGUCUAUUGAUAACUUUGUACCAAGCCGAUAAGUCUGUUGAAGACACUAUGUGUAAGUCUAUUGAUGACAAAUAGGACUUUGUACCAAGCCGAUAAAUCUGUUGAAGACACUAUGUGUAAGUCUAUUGAUGACAAAUAGCGACUUUGUACCAAGCCGAUAAGUCUGUUGAAGACACUAUGUGAAGCAUAGGUCGACUUGGCAAGAAGCAAGAUUUUGACAGGGAUUUCAGCUGUAAUUUGGCCUGCGCCAGCACCUAGCCUGAAGAAUGCUUUAUUUUAAUGUGUCAGCGCUCGCCCGCCUUAUCCCCUCCUCAAUUCCCGAUAUGAGUUAUUUUUUCUUCCUUGUUGGGUCGAGUAUACGAGUUGAGAUUAGGGAAUCCCGCCCCGAUGGUCCUUUCCCCUCAUUUCUUUCCCUUGAUCCUUUACGUGAUCAUUGGAUGCCUUUAAACGCGGCUUAUCUUAAAACUCUUUUUCUCUCUUUCCACAAAAAUUGUCGUCUCUUGGGUAAAAGUUUUGUCCCCUACUUUUCACUGUUUCUUUUGGCGUUUUCUGCUAAAUUGGUUUCGCGUCUUAAGUCAAUUAUAAUUUGUGAGUAAAGCACCAAAAGCUGAAAGAUCGAGCUCAAGUAGUCAAGAUCGACGCAUUCACUCUUUUUUAUUUUGCUUUUUAUUUCCUAACUUGUGUUUCAAGAAAGCUGAACUUGAAAAUGUGAAACACAUGAGUAAGAUUUUUAUUUUGGAUUGUAAUUAGAAAUUCAAUAACUACUCCUGAAAACAUUAUAUAAUUUGACAAAGCAACUGUCGGUAAUUAGAAUUAUGAUGCCCAUUUAUUGAGGCUAAAGAAAUGUAAAAUAUACUAAGAGCAUGCAUUAAAUCCCCCCAUCCAUUCUUUGAGCGGUAGCGGCAAUAUUACACGUGAGUUCAUUCAUAUGACAAAUAUAGAGAAAAAAAACAAUUGAGUAUAAUGCGAUAAGGUACACGUAAGUUAAUUAACCUUGCUGAAACCCAUAAAAAAUGGGUUUCGGCAGGUGCCACCGUGCCAGGUCGCCCAAUGAAAAUUAUUGGCCCAACCACACGGGCUAUGUCUACUUUUUUUUUUUUAAUAAAAAAAGUGAGCUAAAUAAUAAAUAAAAUGGAAACAUAAAUAGAAAAUAAAUGAGUACUUUAUUAUAGAUGAAUUAUAAAAUAAUUUUCUUUUUCUAUUUUCAGCCUCCUUUCCUCUUCUAAUAUUUAUGAAUUUUUCUAUUUUAGAAUGAACAAAAGAAGUACGCUCAAUUUGAAAAAUAUGUGAGUUUCAAUAAAAUUAUAUUUUAUUUAUAACACAUCAUUAAUUUUAUUAUUUUUAAUUAUGAGGAAAUCAAAUGGAAUAAGAAAUUCUUGUUACUUUAAUAAUACCAAAAAAAUGAUAUUUAUCUCAAAUUCGCACUAUUUUUAAAGUAAAAGUAAGAUUAAAUUGUAAAAAAUAUAGAACAUCUGAAUUCUUUUUGAUUUUACUUUCUACUUUCAGAAUAUACUUAAUUUGAUAUAGUUUCCAUUAUUGUAAGUACAAUAUUGAGGCAUCAAGAUUCAUCUACUAGACCUAGCUAAAAUAUUUAACAAGACCUAGCCCUGCACCUUGGUGUGUGGUUAUAUAAAUUAUAAAUCAAAAUGAAGAAUAUGAAGUAUGAGAUGUUUAAGCAUAAAAAUGACCGAAAAUUCUAAAAAUUAUGCAUCAGUGUUUUGAAUAAUUAUAUCAUAUGUAUAAACUCACGAAUCUGAUAUCAUAAGCUAUUAUAUUCUUUAUAUUCUUUAUAAUGUCCUAGUCUUGGAUAUUUCCAUUGAUGUAGAGUGCUUGACUUGAGAAUCCAUUUCUAAAGAAGGUCGGAAAAUGAUCAAUUUGGACUAACCUAACUAUUUUGAUCUUCUUUCUCUACUUACGAACAUAUUCUUUGACAUUUAGUAUGAACAGUGAAUAACUCAAUACUCACUGCCAAAUGAAAAUAAAAAUAAAAAUUACAUGUAGGGUAAUCUCUAAAUAAAACUUUGUAUUUCAGAAAGUAACUAACCAAAUGCAAAAUAUGAAACUGGCACUGGUCGAUGAAACAAUUAGAGAAGCAUCGAAAGGGAUUUUUUUUCUUGAAGAAGAAGUUAUUGGAUGAAUCAGAUGCAUGCAUCUUGAACUUAUCUGGAACAUUGAAUAUGAUGGAUCCUACAUAUAAAGAAGGUGGGCCUUAUUACAUUAGAUAAUCUAGAAAUAUUUGGGUUCACACAAUUGAUGCAUGUAAUAACCUUUCUUCUCUAGAAGAGAGAAUCAAUGACACUUAAAAUAAACCCUCUCAAUAAGUAAGACAACUUUUACACAUCUAAUUGUUCCUCGUAUUGUUCGACCAACUAUUGCAUCCUCACCACGUCCCCAAAUUUUGGUGGAUAGAGGGCAUGUGCUUGUCCCCAAACCAUCAAUAUGUAUGUGUUAUCAAAAGCGGAUGAAGUUCCAAGGAAAUAAGAAAGUGAAAUUUAAGGAGUGGCAAGUAAAAGUCAAGAACAAUAUGCAGACUACUUCCAGAAUUUAGAGGGUUCAUGUAAUUUUCCCCAAAUUGAAAGUGGAGAUAAAUGAUAUAAAAUGUGGAAUAAGAGAUAAUUGUUGGGAGAUAAAUUAAUAGCCAAUCGUAAUGCUUGUACUAACUUGAACUGUCUUAUUUAAAAAUAAUGGGGCUUAUGUAUAUAGGUCCCACCUAGGACUCACUAAAUUCAAUGGUUAAUACCAUAAAAAAUUUCAAAUUGAUAUACCUGUGAUAAAUUUACUCUGAAUUAAUUUUUGACCAUCAAAAACCUCAAAUUGAUACAUUUCAUCCGUUAGUUUCUGCUAAAUUAGAUUAACACCAUGAAAAAUCAUAAAUUAGUACACUUAUGAUAAAUUGAGGGUAAAACUCCAAAUUAAUAUACUUGUCAACCGUCACGUGUAAUUCAACUCCAUAAUUUGAUAGUAAAAUUUAAUGGAGGGUAAAUUUGUUAUAAAUAUAUCAGUUUGAGUUUUUUGUAGUCAAAAAAUUAAUUUAUGAUAAAUUUGUCGCAUAUGUACUAAUUUGAGGUUUUUGGUUGUGUUAGCCCUAAAUUCAAUUUAAUACAUAAUUUACUGAAUAAUUUACUGAAUAGUUUUCGGUGGGAGAUAUCAUUGUCACUAUCGCUAUGAUCAUCACAUGGACUAUUUUCCACAUUCAAGGAGGCCAAAUCAAAGACGGAAAAGAACAGAAGAGAAAAAGAUAACAAAUCAAACCGCGGAAAUUCGUCCGGUGAUGCCGCCCUUCCCAUCAUGGCUUCUUUCUAUUUCUCCAAUCUCGUCGAAAAUGUUGACUUUUCUUUAUUCCCACGAAACCCUAGCAACCCUAGUUUCUCGUUCUGACCAUUUCUUGUCUUUAACUAUUCUUUAUUUUUCCGGAACCUUUUGAACUCCCGAAUCUGAUUGGCUUGAACCAAGAAUUUUCACUUUUAUAUUUUAAUAAGACCGUUAUAUCUUUGGAAUUUCAUAACAGAUUUGAAAUGUUAAAUUGCUUGUGAUCUCCGGCAAUCUAGCACGCAGACAAAUUGAGGUCCCAUACAUAGAAUCUGCGUCUCCUACACCUCCAGUAUUUCAUCUUUUAGGUUCUAUUGGGUAUGCUUUUUCUUUCCUUUUUUUGCCCUAAAUAUAGCAAGAAAACCACAAAUUACGACUCCAUGAAAUGUCAUACUAAUCUCAAUAAUCAAGUAAGAUACAGAUCAAAACACCGCAUGGGUAACGCAAACAUGAGAUUAUAUAAUGUCUUGCUUUUAAUCCACGUGCUCAUGCCUAUCCUUUACCACUAAGCUAUGACAAGAAUUGCAUGUAAUCUUCUUAUUCCUGAAAUAGUGGGUCUUCGUCGGUCGUGCCCAUAAAGCAAGUGGAAUACAUGUUGACCAAAUUUCGGGGACACUAAAAAAGUCCUUUUUUUUUUUUUUCUCUUGUUGUUGUUGCAGUGGCAUAGAGCUAUCCAUAAUAAGUUUUGAAAAAUUAUCAAAAAAAGUCCUAAACCUAUCAUAUGACAGCAAAUUUAAGCCUCAACUUUUUCAUUUCGUCAAUUCAAUCCUCAACUUUUUUUCAUUUAUUUUCCAGCCAAGGGUUAAAAUUUAGGGUUUUUGUCUAUAUAUAAUAAUCACGGUAAGAGAAAUAGAAAAACUUUUUGCGAGUGGCGUCAAUUAAGGCGUGAAGACCAGUUUGUAAGUUAGGUUAUUAUCUAUAUGAAGACACGUACGAUAAACAAGGCCGCUUAUAAAUUAUUUUUUUUUUCUUUAAUAGUUGUUAGUACUUCAUCAUAUAUUGAAUUUUAUUUUUCUUUUAUCGUGAAGAACUGGCUUAUGGCUUCUUUCAUGCAUGGCACCGUAUUCCAUGAAAGCGAAACCCCUCACAUGUUAAUUCACCGUCACAAGCGCUGAUUGCCAGCCGAAACUUAUGACCUUAUGAUAAUAUAUACCAUGCUAUGCACCUGGAAUUAAUCAAUUGACAUUAGCAUUGCUCUACUUUCCACUCUGAAACCGAACCAGCCGAAACUUAUGCUACGCACCCUGGGAUUAAUCAAUUGACAUUAGCAUUGCUAUGCUUUCGACUCUGAAACCGAUGCUUGUGGGUAUGAUUCCUAUCUCAGAGAACUUGGAUUUAAGUUGGAGUCCAUAAAGGUGGAUUGAGUUCCUUAAGCCGGCUAAGUACGGUCAUGCUUCUGUAUUAUUUUAAAAGAAGAAAAAAGUGACGCCCGUCUAGGUCUUUAUUUUACUCGAUAGGUACACAUCUAUCUAUAUCUAUAUACAUAAGUCAAACCACGCUUUGUCUCACUUUUAGAAUCCCUAAAUUACCUUACCUUCUUUGUCUCAUACCCACUCAUUUCAUAAAUAACAAUCUGAUUUCUUUUGUGCUUCUGUAUUAUUUUAAAAGAAGAAAAAAGUGACGCCCGUCUAGGUCUUUAUUUUACUCGAUAGAUACACAUCUAUCUAUAUCUAUAUACAUAAGUCAAACCACGCUUUGUCUCACUUUUAGAAUCCCUAAAUUACCUUACCUUCUUUGUCUCAUACCCACUCAUUUCAUAAAUAACAAUCUGAUUUCUUUUGUCUCGUCAUAAUUUUAGACUUCUUUAUUACCUUUGUUUUCUUUUUCUUAUACUCACCUGCUUUAUAUAUAACCACUUUUUCUUUCUAUGCAUAAUUCCUAUGACCCUAGUAUAUAACGGUGAUCUGAAUGACUUGCUGUUUCCAUUCAAGCGAAGUGAUUGUCAUUUAUAGUAAUUUAAAGAUAUUUAAAGUAAAACAGCGAAGUGACUUGCUGUUCCUGUGCCCAGAGAUACGCCGGCAUGCGCACAGCCAGUGGCUGCGCCCUGGAGCACUCGAUGGGCCGAUUCGGCGAGAAGCUGGCGGAGGGCAUGGCGAACUGAGCAGUGAAGAUGCUGUCAAGAUGUGGGUGAGCGAGAGGGCCAACUACGACCAUCACUCCAAUGCUUGUGUCGGCGGUGAGUGCUUGCAUUACACACAGGUCAUGUGGAGGAGCUCGAUUCAUCUAGGGGGUGCUAGGGUUAAGUGUAGCAACAGGUGGUAAUUCGUGACUUGUAAUUAUGAUCCUCCGGGGAAUUUCGAAGGUUAACAUCCCUACUAAUUUACUAAUCAUGAGUGUACUUUUCAUGUGCAUUGGUGACAUAUGAUCAAUGUGUACUGGAGACGCUAGCUAGGAGUUUCCAAGUUGAAAUAGAAUAUUAAUGGAUUAUUAUAUGUAGUUUACUUUCCUUACUUAUGGAGGAUUCAUGUGGAUUUAUCGUUGCCUUCUUUCUAAAGGUGUAAUGCCGUCUAUAUCUAGGCCUCUGUGCACUCUUACCUUUGAUUAUAAAAGCGUUAUGAUCGAAUAAAUGAUUGGGGAAAAUGAUUAUAAAAACAUCACUACCGUCAUAAAGCCAUGAUAGUGUACCUUGGCUUCCUGCUAAACUUGAUUGGGUCAAGACGAUUGGGUGAGUCUGAAGGCAAAUGGUGUAAUUCAGAUCCAACAUCAGCCAAAAUUGAUGGGUUCAAGGUGGAGAUUCGAGUUGAGAUAACAUUGGUGAGGAAGGAAAACCUGGAUGAAAAGAGACAAUGGAUCUCACAUAGGAGGUUCACAUGUGUGAAGGAGAUUUAAUGAAGUGCAUUCAUGGGGAGUUAGGCAUAAAAAGUCUCACAUUAAGAAUAUGCUAUGCGGUGAAUCAUAUUAAUAUAUCCAAGUUGAGAUUCAUUCAUAAGCUUGGAUUUGAGCUCUUUCUCGGUGAUUUCCCCAAAUGUAGAUAUCAAGUUUGUGUCGUGUGGUCCUAACAUUCAAGAUUUCUAAAGCUUUGCAUUAGUCAUUUCAUCCUCCUAGUCAUGUAUAACAACGUCGUCUCGAUUCCCACGAUUGACCUGUGAGCAAUAAACUCAUAAAUUGGAAUUCAUUAAACUCAAAUUGCGGUGUGAUCGCGUGUCUAAUUUUUUUUUUGAACAACGUAAUUUGAGACAAAAUGAAGGGUGCGAUUGUUUCAUGGAAAACUUAAUGAUAAAGGAAAAUGCUUUCCGGGAAAGCAUUUUCCAAGAAUACGGUUUGUUUUCCUUUGUUUGGCAAUGUAUAAUUGAAAAUGUUUUCUGCCGUUUGUAUCCCAUUAAAAAAUAAUCACACGUCAUCACAGGAAAAAAAAUGAAGAAGCAAAAACUCACUGGCCAUCCUUGUGGCCUGUGACAGGUGAAGAAGAAGUAAAAAGAAAAAGAAGCAAAUUCGAAAUUUUUAUUUUUAUUUUAAAAAAAUUUCCAAAUUUUAUUUUUUUAAAAAAUAAAAAAUUCAAAUUCAAUUUUUUUUAAAAUAUAUUUUUAUAAGAAUAAUUGUUUGUAAACCAAGCAUCAAAUCUAAACUUUGAUAGAUUCGGAAAACGUUUUCUGGUCAUUUCAAAUGGAAAAUCAUUUUCCUGAAUUUAAGCUUUGCGAGUAAAACAUUUUCCGUUGACUAGGAAAACGUUUUCCAUUGAUUCAUUUUCCUAAGCCACCCAAACGCCGGAAAAUGAGGAAAAUUUUUUUCCACAAAAAUGUAUUCCACGAAAUAAACGCACCCGAAUAUAUCUUUCAGGUCGUUAUCCAAGCAUCCAGAUCCUUGCGGGAAAGAAUAUUCUAGCUAUGAGUCUAUGACCUUUCAAAGUACUAUAAUGGGCUGCCAUGGAUAAAAGGGACUGACAUCGAACGCAAAGUUAGUCAAGUUUGACUAGCGCUAUUGAGACCUAGUUGAUUAAUUAGGGAUAAUAUCACUUACUCGGUCAACUAAAGGAGUCCAAUUCAUCAAUUUAUAGUAAAUAUCGACGGAUAUACCACUAAUUCCAACAUUAUUCGCAUUUUAAUCUUUUUGCCGUGGAUGUAUCAUCGAUUCUAUAAAAUAUAAAUCUUAUAAGCUUAGCGAAUGGAAUGUAUCCUUAUAUGGUUGAGACGGCCAUUGCUAUGUACCAAAAUUAAUUGAAAGAGCUAAUGAAAUGAACUCGAGAGCGAAAUGCGCCAUAUAGAUAAUACACAGCUUCUCUUUCGCAGUGUUAAGGGCUUGGAUCGUGAUGUGCUUGAGAGAAGGGAGCUGAGGAGAUUUGAUCAAGGAUCGAAAUUCCUUCACUUAAAAAAUAGAAAAUUGAGAGAGAGAGAUAAUUAUUGAAAGAGAUUAACUUAAUCGGCAAAUAGAUUUGCCUUCAUCAUUCACAUGACUUUAUUGAAUUUUGAUGCGUAUAAAGCUCUUGCCUCAUCCUAAUGGGGCAUUAUUUUGACAUGAUUAUUCAUCAUCCAACAUACAAGUUCUUUUUCAAUAAGGCUUUUGGCCUACAUAGUUGCCGGGAGGAUCAUAGUUACAAGUGACCAAAGUACCGCCCGUUGCACACUUGGCCUUCGCACAUCCAAGCCGGACCGAGUUGCGCCACACCACUUGAGUGUAAUGCCCGCAGACCUUUCCUGACGCGCACGAGUUGGAAUUGUAGUUGUAGUACGGCUUCUCCCCAACCCACAUGUUCACCGCUCUCGUGCCGGUGAGAUCAGGGGAAGCCCACGCGAGAUUCUCCCCAUAGGGUCCGGCUGAGUGAACCAGCCGCGUGCAAUCCCUGGCGUGCUUUUGAGCAUAAUCCCUGGCAUAGCCGGCAACGCGCUCGUCCCAAGUGAUUUGGCCGACACCGACCUGAGAGCGGGCCGCGUUGUGGGCGGCGACGUAGUCUUGGGGAGAGUCCUGGGCGAUGGACAGAGGGAUCAGCGCCAGGGCUAGUGCGACGAGGAAAAUGAUAUGGAGAGGAACACUCAUACGGGAACUCAUAUUGAGAGAGACCUUAAAGGUUGGCAAAGGAAGGUCUUAGUUGAUUGAUGAAGAGAUAGGCAAUAGCUAAGGGGGUAUUUAUAUGGUGAUCACGUGGAAAAUCUGUCCAUUUGGAAAAGUCAAAUGUUCAAAAUGGGCGACCAUGACUAAAAGAGUGCCCGUCGAAUUGAUUGAUGAUAAUGUGAUAAUUUUCAUAUUUUUAUUUUCUCUUGAAAAUAAUAAUAUUUUCUAGAAAUAUUGAGGACAGAUAUUGGACAACGUUAAUUAUUGUACCAUUGAUGAUGACUUCGUCUUCUUCUUGUUAUUGUUUUUCUUUCCUUUUUAUUUCAAUUUUAGCGAUAGGAAUAUUGAGGACAAAUAGCGACUCCAUCGAUUCUUUACAUGAUCAUUGGACGCCUUAAAAGGUGACUUAUCUUGAAACUCUUUUCUCUCUUUCCACAAAAAUUGUCGUCUCUUGGGUAAUAGUUUUUCUCCCCCACCUUUGACUGUUUCUUUUGGCGCUUUAUGAUAAAUUGGUUUCGCGUCUAAGUCACUUAUAAUUAACCAAUAGCUGAAAGAUCAAUCUCAAGUAGUCAAGCUUGAUGCAUUCUCUAUUUUUUUUUUUUUUUUGCCUUAACUUGUGUUUGCACGAAAAUGAUUUUGAAAAAUGUUAAACACGUGAAUAAGAUUUUCAUUUCAGGUUAUAAUUAGAAAUUCAAUAAUAACUCUCGAAAACAUUAUUUAGUUUGACAAAGUAACAAUUGGUAAUUGGAAUUAUGGUGCCUAGUUAUUGAGGCUAGAGAAAUGUAAAGUACACUAAGAGCAUGCAUCAAAUCCUCCCAUCCAUCCUUUGAGCCAAUAGUGGCACUAUUGCAUGUAAGUUCGUUCAUAUGACAAAUAUAGAGAAAAAUAUUCUGAGUAUAAUUACAAUAAGGUACGCAUAAUUCGAUAUCAUCAUUGGAUAGGUUCGGUUCAAAUUUAUAGGAGCCUUGCUCAAACCCAAACUAAUGAGUUUUGGCAAGUGCUAGGCUCAAACAAUAAAAACUAUUGGCCCAACCACAUGGGCUAUGUUUGCUUUUUUCAACAAAAUAAUUGAGCUAAAUAAUAAAUAGAAUGGAAACAUAAAUAGAAAAUAAUUUCUUGUGGUACUUUACUUUAGAUGAGUCAUAAAUACUUUUCUUUUCUUUUUAAGCCACAUUUUCUCUUCUAAAGCAAACCAAUAAGAAUUAAAGCGCGAUUGUGCCAGCCCAAUCCCCUUGUGGUCAAAACUAUUAUAGAAGGAAAGGCGUGCCGCGGUGCCACUUUACCAUUCCGCAAAGUGGAAUUCUUCUCCUAAUAAUUCUUGCUUUGUAAAAUGUAUUCCCCUAGAUCGAAGGUAAUUAAAAAUUCUAAGAAAAAAAGAAAGAAAUUGAAAUAUUUAUUAAUGACUUGUUCUCCUUCUGCAGAGCGGUAACUUUUCCAUGUUUUACAUGUCCCGUUGUUCACACCGUCUGCAAAUGGCUAAUGUAUAUAGAAAUUGUUCGUUCUGCACACUCAAAUACAAAUAUCAGUAAACUUAGAUUAUUUCAUUAUCUCAAACAUCGUGGGAGAUUUUAUAAGAAAAUACACAACAUGGUUUUGUUAGAUGGGCCAUAUUCGACUAAUAAGCGUUUAGAUGAGUGAUUUAUCAUCUUCCAAUUUAUAUCCUUCAUAUUUUUACCUCUUAUUAAGUCUAAACUUGAGAAACGUAUGAAUUAGAGGAAGUUUGAUAUAGAAGAUAGUUCAUGAGCUUUAUUUUUUGUAAUAUAACAACCAAUCUAAUAAAUAGAUAAAGAUAUAGUAUUUUUAACAAAAAUAUAAAACAGUGAGUUUACGUAAAUCCUAUUGGGAUUUCAAGUACAUCCUACUUCAUUACAUAAUAAAUCUGACAAAUAUAAAGAAAAAGAAAACUCAUUUAGUUAAAACAUCACUGUUCAGAAUUUGUAGUAUUAUCUUAUUACCUGGAUAUAUUUCACUUACUUUAAAUGUAUUUAAAUAAAAGUGAAAUAGAAAGAAUAGCUUAUACCAAUAAUUGAAUAAGUUCCACUCUACUGAUGUUUGUUAUUGAUAAACAUAUUUUGUUCGUUAAAGUAUAACUGAUUCUAUUUGAGUAAUUUGACUUAGCAUAUAAAAAUAAUUAGAGUGAACAAAAUAAAUCCACUUGGUUUAAAAAUAUAUGAAUUUUAAUAAAAUUAUAUUUCAUUUAUAACACAUCAUUCAGUUUAUUAUUUUUAAUUAUUGUGAAAUUUAAAUCGAGUAAAAAAUUCCUGUUACUUUAAAUACAUAUAAAAUUACUAUUUAUCUUGAAUUCGCAAUAUUUCAACGUAAAAAAAGAUUAAAUUGCAACUCAUUUUAAAUAUAGAAAGAAAUCUGGAUUAAAAAGAUUAUGUUACAAGUGAUGGGGCGGUAGCGGUGCCAUAGGGCCUUCUCGAGGAAGAAAAAGAAGGAAAAGGAAAUAAAAAAAUGAAAGAAACGAAAGAAAUAGGAAAAAAGGGGAAAAGGAAAAAAAAUGAUAAGAGCACAUCUAAGUGAUUGAAUGUUCAAAGUGCUUAUAUAUUCUUAUCUGAAGGGAGAGUAAAUUGGAAACGUAAACUCAUCUCCAUAAACGGAGAAGCACCCAGAAAAAUAUACUAGCAUCAAAUAAUAAUUAACCUGAUCAAAGCUGGUGCCAAAUAAAAAAAAAAAAAAAAUCCUAAGGAACAAACUUAUAGGUACUAAAAAGUCCUACUAAAACACUUUUUUUUAUACCAUGACGUGGUAAUUUCCUAACAGUUAUGGAAAGAAACUAUAAUGAUUCAAUGCAUGAGUCUCGCUCAUUUUAUACCCAAUUGUAAAUGGCCAUAUUACUUAUUAAAUAUGUUCUAGCAAAGUUCUUAUUAGAUUUUCUAUAUGAACACUCGGUACUUUUAUUAUCUAAUGAAAUUUGUAUUUUUUUUCACGUGAAAGAAUGACUUUUGGCUUCUUUCAUGCACGGCACCGUAUUUAUCAGCCGAAGUUUAUGAUGAUACACACCCACCUAUGGUUUAUCCAUUAAAAAUGGCAUUUCCAUACUUUCGGUUUAAGAAGCGAUGGUUGUGGAUUUGAUUCUUAUCCCGGGAAAUUCAGAUUUACUUUGCUUGCUCUUAAUUUUACUAUAAAAACAAAAAAGAGAAAUGUCAAAUCCUAAGUUUGUUUUAUAAUUUGGUACUAUAUGUCAUGUGGCAUAUUUUUAUUAAUUAUUGAAUAAUAUUUACUGUACACUUAUAGUCUGCCACUUGAUUUGGUAUAUUAAUAUUAAUAGAUAACAUAGCCUUGCCCAACAAGAAAUACCUUUAAAAAGUUGAGAAGAGAGAGCAAUAUUUAAGGUAAUAACAAAGAAGGGCAGGGGACGUAGCGCGAUGUAUAUAAACAAUUACUCAAACAAAAAGGAUAUUGUAAGUUCAUAGCAUGCACCAUAGACUCUUAAUUUGAGAGAACAAAAAAAUUAAUUUUAUCAAGAAAAUAUCAAGAUCAUUUCGCUUUUUUUUUUUCAUGGAAAAAAAUUAGCACAGAAAUCCACUGCCCUAGCCGCCCGCUUGAAUUGUAUUGCGCAAGGAGGAACUGGAAUGAUUAUCAUUCAUUUUUGUGCCGAAAGUAUGAGAAACGCCCUUAUCACUUGGUGAAUCCUAGGUGGGUUAUUAAGAAAAUCAUUUUAAUGGAAAACGAUCAAAUUUUCGUAUAUGGUUGGACUUUUAAAAAGGAGUUGAAAAUCAUUACCUAAUAUUUGUUAUCAAUUUGCUCUUAAACCUUUUUGGACGAAUGGGCUCGGAUUCAAGAGGAGAAAUCUAGCGUUUGCUUGCAUAAAAAUGUUUGAUCUAGAAUUACUUAUCUAUAUAUAAUGAUGGACUUGUUUUGUCAAUUAAUACCCCAUGUCACUUUAGGUGAGGAAGAAAAGGAAUAAACAUUGGGUAUGUUUGUUCAUGGAAAAUGAGUGAUCUAAAAAAUAUUUUAUGAAAAAUGAUCGCUUUUAUUGUCUAGAAAAAUAAAUGAAUAGAAAUUUUUUUCUUUGCCCAUGAAAAUAAUUAGGCAUAGAUUGCUAUUGAUGAUGGAAAUUUUUUUCGCUAACUAAUUUUUCUAAACGAUAUAAGCAAUUAAAUUUCGAAAAAUAUUUUUCAAAUCACUUAUUUUACAUGAAAUGAACACACCUUUGGUUCUUCUUUUCAAAAUAUACAAACAAAGCUGUUUUCCUCCAUCAUAUCCUAUUAUUUUAUUGAACAAGCAAUGGAUUCACAAGUCCAUGACCGAACAUUCCGUCAAAUGCUCUUGAUUUUGCAUAAAGAAAAAGAGACAUGGCUCAUGGGAUGCUCUUGAUUUACAUGUGGCUCAUGACUAAUCCAUGCAUCAGAUCCACCGCUAAAGAGAUAUAUCAGAUUUUAUACAAGUCCAUUUAGUCGAAAUAUAGAGUUUGAUGUAUAGAUUGAGGGCAGUGAAGUAUCCUGUUUGUGUUUUUUCCAAUUAGAGAGAAGAGGACCGAGGCACAUUGAUCUGAUUUCAGAAAAAAAGAAAAAAAAGAAAAAAAAAGGAUUGAAGGCUGACAAGUGAAAUGUCGAUUGAUCGCAUUUAUGUAUUUUUAUGUAAGAGGUCGACACCUUCUUUAUAUAACGUUCUAUAUGUAUAAUGAAUCGGUUAUGUUAAUUUGCAUUCGUCCUAUGUGGUAUCGAUUAUUUAUAUGUUCUGAACACAAAUUGAUACUUGUGAAUUAGUCAAAACUAAGUAGGGGUGGGCACGGUUUCGACGGGUGGGCUUCAAUGCUUUUUUCUUUUGCCCAGCCCGAACAUGUGGGUGUGGAACUUCUAAUUCCGGUUAGCAGGGCCAGCUCAUUUUUUUUUUUUCAAAAGACCAUACCGAACUAGACUAGGCAACCGACCAAAAGAAAACUAGAGUAGGCUGGUUCAGGCCUAGCCCAACUUUUUUUGUUGGUUUUAAAUGAAAAAGAGAUGAGCUACUAUAUUUUGGACCUCAAAAAUCACUUCUUUUAUAUGUUUAGAUAUUUUAACUUAGUUAUGAGUUUGUUACGUUGUAUUGAGUAGAAUUGACGUGUCUUGUAUUGGGAAAAGUGUCAGAAAAAUCCUAAUUUCAUUACAUUGGUACCAAUUUAAUCUUAAAUAUUUUAAUUGCGUUGAUUUAGUUCUAAAUAUGUUAACCCAAUGCCAAUUUAGUCCUUAGUUUCUUUAGCUAAAUUUGACUAGAUAUUGCUAACGUGGACUUUGGUCGACUUAUUUGGCAUGGUUAAUAUUGAUGUUGAUAAUUUUUAAUAAUAUAUUUUUUUUAAUUUGUAUUCUUUUAUUUAUCUCUUCUUUCCAUUCCUUCUUCCUUUAGCCAAUCACUAAACCAACGACCAGCUAGAGGUGAGGGCUAGCAAGGAUCAACCCUUUCUAAACAUUGUAAGGUCACGGCCUUCAAACUUGCAACCUUUGGCAAGGACCCUCACCAAAUCUACCGAGGUCGACCGUCAUUCAUUACGGGUGCCUGGCUCCUAGUUCGAUCCGAUUCCAAGGUGGAACUGAGACUAGACUGCAUCAUUGGUCCGAUCCAAUCUAAUAGAACCGGUCACUUAUUUUUUCCAAUAGUUUUCCCCAUUAUUUUUUUCCUACUACUUAAAACUGGAUCGAGAUAGUGUUUUGUUCACAUUAUACUCUUUUUUUUUUUGAAGAAAUAAUACAAUAAAAAGUAUAUUUAGUUGUUCCAAUCCGAUUCCUCCUUGGAAUCGAGAACUAGAUUGCUUGGACACCAGUUCCAUUUUUAUAAACCAGGAAUCGGACCAACACUCUUGGGAACAAGAUUAAACUAGUUGGUCUGGUUCAGUCUAACCAGUUUUCUAUUCAGGCAGUUCAUUUUAUACAUUCCUAUCUAUUAUUUCAUUAGAUUCAAUGGGGGUGAGCCUUAAUAUAGGUUAGGUGAUGUUGCCGGAUUUGGCAAGGCUAGCCAAAUGCUGGGAAGGUCCCCGGAGGAAGAAGAAAUAAAGAAAUAAAGAAAUAAAAAAUUUGAAAAAUAUCAAAAUAUUAUUAAAAGUGGUCAACGUUAGCGCCGAUUAUGCCAUAUAUGCCGAUUGGUGUCCACGUUAGCAAUCUUUGGCAAACAAAUAGUCGGAAUAAUUGAAUUGAUUAAAUUAAAAGAUUUAGGAUUGAAUUGAUAUUACUAAAAAAUUUAGAACUAAAUUGGCAUGACCAUAAUAUGUUUAAGACUUUUUUGACACAUUUCCCGUCUUUCACUAUUAAUAUCAUACACUUUAUUAAUACUUUUUAAAUUUUUUUUUUUAAAAGGUAGUUUGGGCCAAAUUGGGCCAUUUGGAGGUUGAGAUAUGGCCUGGCUCUGCUUGAGAAAAGGGGAGCUAGACUAGAACUAAUGGGCCUGAAAAUAUGGGUUAGUGCAGUUUGGGCCUAUUUGGGCUUUCGCUCUUUUUUGUUCCCCUCUUAGAGGUAAGUGCCACGUGGGACAAAGUGCUACACUGUGAAAACCACCUUUUGAAUCCUGUAAGAGCAAAGUGGUACAUGGUGGAAAUCAUUCCCUAAACCCAUGUAGGCUACCUUUAGAAUCCUUCACUUGUGAGCAGUUGGAGUAUGUCAGCAGGAUUGACUACACGGAAUGCAUUAUCGAAUGUCAUUUGUGUGAUCUACAAUUAUUAAACCUUCUAAUCCUUAGAAGAUGUGGUCAAGUACUUGCUCAAUUGGUGAUAUGCUUCCUCAACAUUGAGGCUGACUUACUAAGAGCGUUGCAUGCUAGAACCAUACUAUCCUCAAAAUUUGACACCUAGUCACAUGUCAUAGUCUAUUUGAGAUACCAUGAGAUUGUAAUAAUAGGAAUAAGAUGGUUUGAUUUUGCGGUUGCACCAUGAAGAUAUGAUAUUUGACAAACAUUUAAAAAGUAGCUCAUAUUUACGUAAAUUACGUAAAUGCCGAAGAAAUUGUUCCUACCACAUGAAAAAGUAAGUAUAAUAUAAAGUAUACCUACCACAUUAAGUGAUAAAAUGACAAUCGAGCGUUACUUAAUAAUAGUCAUACUGUUUUAUUUCCUAUUUCUCUAUCCAUUUAAAAUUAAACUUAAACCAAAAAAAUACUGAAAAAUAAAAAAGAUAGCAUAUUUAUAAAGAAAUCCAUAAGUUGCAGCUAUUUUAUAUACGACUUCUCAUAUUUCCUUGUGGUUUAAUAUUACAUAUUGUUUUAUAUAUAUGAUCUUGGUAAUGAUUAUAAAACAAAAAGGCAGUCUAGAGUUUUAACUUGGUCAUCAUAAACGUUGAACUAAAUUUUCAUCAAAAGAAUAUGCUGAAUAUUCGUAUUUUAAGAUAAAGGUAAACUCCCCAAUGCUAGUAGUUUUCAAAUUCUCUAUCCUAUUUUUCCCUCAUUCGUCCGUUUUAACCAAAUUUUAAUUUUGGAAACUUACAUGCUGCCUUUUAUUAACUUUGAGCAUGUUCCUUAUUUUUGUAUGUUGAAAUUCAUGAACAAAUUUCUUUUAAAGUGUUUGUGCAUAGGUCCAACACAUUCAUAAAAAUAACAUAAGUGAAAAAAUUCUUGAUAUCAUAAGUGACUACAAUUAUGUGCCAAUUUUGAUGAACAUAACAUGUGAAAGUACCGAUAUAUGCUGUUAAUAAAAUGUAUCCAAGUAUGCACGCAGGUUUUGUAACUAGUUAAAAAAGAAAGGGCAAAAGUUAGGGGUAAAUGGUGUCAAUUUCAUCCAGCUUCCAUUUAAAACUAGGAACCAACCUAUUAAAAUAGGUUUUCUAAUUUUGGAACUUGCAACCUGAUGUAGCUAGCAAGAAUUACAUAGAGGAAGAGAAAAAGGGGGGGGGGGGGGGUUGGGGGUGUGAAUAGUUGAUUUAAUAAAAAAUUGACAAACUAAAGCGAAAAUAGAAAAAAAAAGUCAAGAACUAAGUUUGAACUUAUAGCGCAAAGUCCAUAUUUUGGAAUAACGUUCAGAAAUAGUUUGCGAUAGAAUGAACUUCUGAAGCAGCUCGCAAGUAUGCAAUAAACUAUAGCAAUAACUAAUAAAAGUUUAAGGAUAAAAGGAAUUUGCACAUAAAGCUUAUAGUAGUUUGGCUUAGAUUCAGUCCACAUCUACUUUCUAAUGCUGAUAACCUUCUGGCUGGAUUCUAUUAGAUGAUCAAUAAGAGAUUACAAUAUUGAGUGAUCACAUUUAGUGUAUGAUAGGUCACACUAUCUCAUUCAAUCACACUUUUUGUGCUUCUCUUACGAUCACAAAAUUGAAGCUCAUGAAAUACAAGUGUAUGGUCGAAAUACGCUCAGACUUUGAAAUUUUAGAUUUUGGCCUUUGUCUCUUAGAUGCUCUUUGGCACCUUGGUCUCCUUAUAUACUCAUUCACUUCCCAAUUAGCUGUUGAACAGUCUCUAGAGGAUCAUCUCCCAAUCUAUCCAUUGGACAUAUGUAUUAAGAAAAUUAAGUAGCUGUUGAGUGACAAAAGUUGAAUCUCCACUUGAUUUUGGUCAUCCAUAUAACUAGUAUGGAUUUCCAUAAGUAAAGCUUCUUGAUUUAGAAAAAAACUUUUUUCAAGAUUUAUUUUCCAAUUAAAUAAGAUUGAGUUAAUCAAAUCUUUUUAGGUGUGAAAUCCAAGCUAGAUCAUUAGCUGUUAUAGUACGUUUUAAUUUGGUGUCACGUUUUGAAGUUAUGUCUCGUUCUGAAGUUUUGUUAGGAUGGGAACAUAAAUGAUUCUCUCAGUUUGAAGAUCUUUAUAACUUCAAUAUAAAGUCCGAACCUAUUCCAUCUAAAGUAGAUUCUACAAUUUGGACUUGAAUUUGAAUAAGAUUAAGAUUGCUACUAACUUUUCUUUCAAGAGUAAUUCCCUAAAUCAAAAUACUUCAAAACAUAUAUCUAACUUACAAGAAUUUCACGGACAGUUUUGCCAAUUUUAAAAUUUAUUAGAAAGUUUUCUCAACAGAACCUACCCUUGCAUACUUAAGAACCUAGAACCUAUUAUGUCAUAGGUUCUAGGGUCGGUUCCAUGAAUUGUAACGAAUAAUGGUAAUUAGAUGUGAUAAUUCAUUGCAAUCGUUCAAUUAAAAAUAUAUAUAUGUAAUCUUGGUAGACCAUGGAACCGACCCUAGUAAUACAUUGACCUUCCAUUAAAGUCUUGUUAGUGAGAAUCAUUAACAAUCUAUCUAUAUUGAUGUCAGAAAGAAAACAAUGUUAAUAUGGCACCCAUAUGUCCUAAGUGAAAUAAAAAUGAUGUUAUUUUGUUUGAAAAAUCAUUUAACGGAAUUUUGAUGGAGGGUGAAUGUAUCACAUAAGUACAAGUUUGGGGGUUUUUUUUUUUUUUCAUGUCAAAAUUUUUUUAAAGGUAAAUGUAUAACAUUAUGCAUAGGGUUUUUAAUAUCACAAAAAAGUAUAAAAUAAAUGUAUCACAGUGGGCGUAGUUUUUUUUUUUUUGGGCUCUUUCUUUCAAAAAAAAGAAAUCAAAGCAUCUAGUCUCAGUGAGUGAUUUCCACUCAACUAGAAACAUUGUUCCAACAAUCAAAAUUGCUCGUUGCUAAAGGUUGAUGAACUUGGCUCCCUCAUGACUAGAGCUGGGCUGUCACGGCUCAACUUCCGUAAAAAAAAAAAAAAAAUCAAAUAAAAGAAUAUAUCUAUUGAGAUUUUUUUUUUUAAAUUUCCUUUACCAUAUAAAAACAAAAAUACACAAUCGUGUAAAUUGUUUUCCACCUCGCUACACAUCCUCGAUAUGGGACUUUUUUCGUCUAACACAACAUUGACCAUAUUUGCGUUAAUAUUUUAUUGGAAAUUUUUUUCUAAAUCACUCUAAUGACUUUAGCCUUUGAAUGAAAGUGAAUCCAACUAAAUAUGUUAAUAAAUUUGGAUUUGGGUUCUCUCUUGAUAAUCUCCCAAGGUGACGGAUUGUGAUUUGUUAUGCAUCCCCAACAAGUGAUAUCGGUGUCGAUAGUUGAUUUGUGCCUUACUCACGAUAUGUAACAAGGUCUGGUGAUUAUCUCAAAAAAGAAUUUUGAUUCUCUAAUCAAGGCGACAGAUAAUGUCCACUGGCUUCUUGCUAAACUUGAUUGGGCCAAGACAAUUGAGGUAAAGUCCAAAGGCAUAUGGUGUGACUCAGCUCCAACAUUUGGGAAACUCGGUUGACUUAAGGUGGCGAUUUGAGUUAAAAUAACAUUGGUGAGAAAGGAAUACCUAAAUUAAAGGGGACAACAGGCCUCGCACAGGAGGCUCACAUGUGUGAAGAAGAUUUAAUGAAAUGCAUGUGUGAGGGUGUUAGGCACAAAUAGUCCCACAUCAGAGAUGUCUUUAGGGUGAAUCAUAUUAAUAUAUCCAAGUUGAGAUUUGUUUACAAGUUUGAACUUAAGCUCUUUUUUGGCAAUUUUCUCAAAAGUAGGUAUCAAGUUUGUGCUGCACGUUCCCAAAAAUCAAUAUUUCUAGAGCUUUAGAUUAAUCAUUUCAUCCACCUACUCAUAUACAACAACGCUGUAUCAAUUCCCACAAUUGACUCCGCGGGCAUUAAACUCGUCAAUCAUCGGAAUUCAUUAAGUGCAAAUUGCAGCGUGUUCGUCUACCUAAAUUUGUCUGAACAACGUGAAUUGAGACAAAAUGAAAAUGUCGUUGAGGCGGCUAUUCAAGCAUAUAGAUCCUAGUGGGAAAGAAUAUUCUAGUUAAAAGUCCACGACCUUUCAAAGUACUAGGCUGCUAUAUAAAAAAGAAUUGAAAUGGAAUACGAAGUUAGGCAAUUUUGACUUGUGCUUAUUGACACCAAAUUAAUUUUUUUCCCGAAGUUUAUUGACACCUCGUUGAUUAAUUGGAGGUAAUAUCAGUUUCUUGGUCAACUAAAGAUCUUCGAUUUCAACCAAAAAAAAAAAAAGAAAAAGAAAAAAAAUUUUGGACCGAAAAAAAAAAAAAAACUAAAGGAGUUUAAUUCAUCAAUACAUAAGCUUAUCGAACGGAACGUAUUGUGAUAUGGUCGAGAUGGCCAUUGCUAUGUACUUGAAGAAAGGGCUAAUGGAAUGAACUUGAGAGUGAAAUUUGGCGUAGAGAUCAUACUUAGCUUCUCUUUUACAGUGUGAAGAGACUUCAGAGGAUUGAAGUUCCUUCACUUGAAAAAUAGGAAUUGAGAGAGAGAAAUAGGAAUUGAGAGAGAGAGAGAGAGAGAGAAAGAGAGAGAGAGAGAUCUAAUCGUUGAGAGAGAUUAACUUUUUAAUUAGCAAAGAGAUUUACCUUCAAAACUCAUACGGCUUUAUUUAAUGUCGGUCCAUUUAAAGCUCUUGCCUCAUCCUAAUGAUGCAUUAUUUUGACACGAUAGUUCAUGUCUGACAUACAACUUUUUGUAAUUCAAUAAGGCUUCUGGCCUAUAUAGUUCCCGGGAGGAUCAUAGUUACAAGUGACCAAAGUACCACCAGUCGCGCAUUGGGCCUUUGCGCAUCCAACCCGAACCGAGUUGCGCCACACCACCUGAGUGUAAUGCCCGCAGACCUUCCCGGGCGCGCACGAGUUGGAAUUGUAGUUGUAGUCAGGCUUUUCCCCGACCCACAUGUUCACCGCUCUCGUGCCGGUGAGAUCAGGGGAAGCCCACGCGAGGUUCUCUCCAUAGGGUCCGCCCGAAUGGACCAGCCGCGUGCAAUCCCUGGCGUGCUUUUGGGCGUAAUCCCUGGCAUAGCUAGCCACUCGCUCGUCCCAAGUGAUCGGGCCUACACCGACCUGAGAGCGGGCUGCGUUGUGGGCGGCGACGUAGUCCCGGGGCAAGUCCUGGGCGACAGACAGAGAGAUCAGCGCCAGGGUUAGCGCGGCCAGGAAAAUGACAUGGAGAGGAACACUCAUACGGGAACUCAUAUUGCAAGAGACCAUAAAAGUAGGCAGAGGAAAGAUC
rnacentral:lncRNA from 1 species